rnacentral:rRNA from 1 species
AGAGUUUGAUCCUGGCUCAGGAUGAACGCUGGCGGCGUGCUUAACACAUGCAAGUCGAACGAUGAUCCCAGCUUGCUGGGGGAUUAGUGGCGAACGGGUGAGUAACACGUGAGUAACCUGCCCUUAACUCUGGGAUAAGCCUGGGAAACUGGGUCUAAUACCGGAUAUGACUCCUCAUCGCAUGGUGGGGGGUGGAAAGCUUUAUUGUGGUUUUGGAUGGACUCGCGGCCUAUCAGCUUGUUGGUGAGGUAAUGGCUCACCAAGGCGACGACGGGUAGCCGGCCUGAGAGGGUGACCGGCCACACUGGGACUGAGACACGGCCCAGACUCCUACGGGAGGCAGCAGUGGGGAAUAUUGCACAAUGGGCGAAAGCCUGAUGCAGCGACGCCGCGUGAGGGAUGACGGCCUUCGGGUUGUAAACCUCUUUCAGUAGGGAAGAAGCGAAAGUGACGGUACCUGCAGAAGAAGCGCCGGCUAACUACGUGCCAGCAGCCGCGGUAAUACGUAGGGCGCAAGCGUUAUCCGGAAUUAUUGGGCGUAAAGAGCUCGUAGGCGGUUUGUCGCGUCUGCCGUGAAAGUCCGGGGCUCAACUCCGGAUCUGCGGUGGGUACGGGCAGACUAGAGUGAUGUAGGGGAGACUGGAAUUCCUGGUGUAGCGGUGAAAUGCGCAGAUAUCAGGAGGAACACCGAUGGCGAAGGCAGGUCUCUGGGCAUUAACUGACGCUGAGGAGCGAAAGCAUGGGGAGCGAACAGGAUUAGAUACCCUGGUAGUCCAUGCCGUAAACGUUGGGCACUAGUGUGGGGGACAUUCCACGUUUUCCGUACCGUAGCUAACGCAUUAAGUGCCCCGCCUGGGGAGUACGGGCCGCAAGGCUAAAACUCAAGGAAUUGACGG